rnacentral:misc_RNA from 1 species
GAGAGAGAGUGCUUACAAACUAUACAACCAAUCAUCAUCUUCAAAACCAAAUAAUUGGAGGUUCCAAAUCAAAUAAUAAUUUCUACUACUUGCUUUUUAAUGCAUUGUUUAUGUUUAUAGAAAUGGCAAUAACGCUGGUCACCACUGCUAGAAUUACCAUUCCUAAAGCAACAACCUUAUCCUUCUUUGUUGCUAUUCCAUUCACAUCCCUGAGAGCAAUGGCGCCGGGGAAGAUGAAGGCCAGGCAAGCAGCUGAUGUUGAGCCCAUGAAUUGGAAGAUGUACCAAAUAUUUGGGAAUGCUAUUGCAGCAAGGUAGGAGAAGAUCAGCAAAGCCAUUGUAAUGGCCAAAAACCUUGUUUGAUCUGUCCCCAAAGGAGCCUUCUUUGGGAACAAUAAUUCAUUUAUAUUGGACCUCAAUGGGAAGUUUAGCAAAGGGAAAACAAGCAUGAGAUGAACUGCAUAGCUUAAUCUCACUACAUCAUUCAACAAAGCCCCGGUUGUAUCAGCACUCUGAUCAAAGUUCAUCAGAAUAUCUGACAUUAAUGAGUCUCCAAACAACAAGUACCCGAAAAUUCCGAUCACGAAAUAGACAACGGCGCAGAGAAGGAGCGCAAUCCGAACCGCAAUGAUCAUAUUUGAUGGCUUAUGAAGCUCAGAACUUAUUGGAUGAACAUUGAAAUGGAAGCAGAAAGCUGUGACAAGAACUGGAACAGCUGUGAAAAGGUCGAGGAAGGAGGUUUCUUCGUCAAGCUCCGGUACCAAUCUGGUGCUCUUCGUUUUGCCUUCAAUGAUCGCCAUGAUCGCCAUUACAGAGCUUAUCCCAACGAAAACGACGGCCAGAAGAACUGAUACAAACGAACUGAAUCUCAAAGAAUCGACUCGUCGGAGAAGAACCAGGGGAAGUAAAAUGAAGACGAGAGUAAAAAGGAUUGAGAACUCUCUGGCGUUCCACCAGUGAUUCCCAAACCAUUCUUGCAAAACUCCUAAAUGCACUUUUCCUCCUUCUUUAUUGCCGGAGAACACAUCCCCGAUUAUAAUCUGGUACAUAAUCAAGCAACCGAGAUUGGUAACCAUAAUACAAAUUUGCGUAGCAAUCGAACCAAUCGGGCCGAACGACUCCUUCAUGACGCCGGCGUAGGUAGUCGAGUCGCCGGAAUGAGUGAAUCUAAGCAAAAGCUCCACCGAAAUGUCAGUAAGGAAAGCGACGAACACGAUCAGGACGAGGGCGGGGAUUAUGCCGAGGACCUUAAGAGCGAAGGGAAUCGACAUGAUUCCAGCACCAAUUAUACUGGUCGAGACGUUGAACACGGCACCGGAGACCGACGCAGUCCUCGUGCACGGCUUCGCGGCCGGCAGUAAAGGUACGUUUUCGGGCGCCGGCGACAUGACGGCGGCGAGACGAUGAUAAGCUGGAGAGAAUAGAGCCGAAGGAAGUGAAGAAGAUGAAGAGAAGGAUGAAUGUCG